rnacentral:rRNA from 1 species
GAUGAACCACUUCGGUGGGGAUUAGUGGCGAACGGGUGAGUAACACGUGGGCAAUCUGCCCUUCACUCUGGGACAAGCCCUGGAAACGGGGUCUAAUACCGGAUACCACUCUCACAGGCAUCUGUGGGGGUUGAAAGCUCCGGCGGUGAAGGAUGAGCCCGCGGCCUAUCAGCUUGUUGGUGAGGUAACGGCUCACCAAGGCGACGACGGGUAGCCGGCCUGAGAGGGCGACCGGCCACACUGGGACUGAGACACGGCCCAGACUCCUACGGGAGGCAGCAGUGGGGAAUAUUGCACAAUGGGCGAAAGCCUGAUGCAGCGACGCCGCGUGAGGGAUGACGGCCUUCGGGUUGUAAACCUCUUUCAGCAGGGAAGAAGCGAAAGUGACGGUACCUGCAGAAGAAGCGCCGGCUAACUACGUGCCAGCAGCCGCGGUAAUACGUAGGGCGCAAGCGUUGUCCGGAAUUAUUGGGCGUAAAGAGCUCGUAGGCGGCUUGUCACGUCGGGUGUGAAAGCCCGGGGCUUAACCCCGGGUCUGCAUUCGAUACGGGCUAGCUAGAGUGUGGUAGGGGAGAUCGGAAUUCCUGGUGUAGCGGUGAAAUGCGCAGAUAUCAGGAGGAACACCGGUGGCGAAGGCGGAUCUCUGGGCCAUUACUGACGCUGAGGAGCGAAAGCGUGGGGAGCGAACAGGAUUAGAUACCCUGGUAGUCCACGCCGUAAACGGUGGGAACUAGGUGUUGGCGACAUUCCACGUCGUCGGUGCCGCAGCUAACGCAUUAAGUUCCCCGCCUGGGGAGUACGGC